AGUCUGCCGAAUCUGUUGUCUUGUCAUUGACGGUCCAUUGUUCAACCAAGCAGGACCGAAGGUUUCUUCUCACCAACUCGCACCGUAAGCGCCAGGACGCCUGUCCUCGGCAAGGGAAGCGAGGGGCUGGGGACCGUAACUCACCGUAAGGUUCUUCACGUCAAAGUCCGAGAUGUGUGUCAGGAUAAUCUUCCGGCUCAUUUACACUAGGAGACCCAAGGCGUUCUAAUCGGCCAGCUCUGCUUAUAGCCGUGCAUGGCAGUGCGAGGAAGCCGAUGCGUACCCACGCGUGGCCUCGCCUGGAAUCGUCUGAAACGUCUGGACGCGACAAAGGAGGCAAGGGCCUGCCAUCGGUGUCGAGCGUCGCCUUAACCAGUGCUUCAUGACAAGGCACGGGAAGACGUCCAAGAAUCUCCGCCGCAUUUUGAGAAGACCCGGUGUGUUCAAAGCGGUAGUCCGACGACAAGGCCUUCUCAAGACAUUUGGCAAGCACGAAGGCCCGUGAAGAGAAUACAUUCCGAACUGAAAUGCCUAUAUUUCCACCAUCUCUACAAUGCUGACCGUACCA